rnacentral:ncRNA from 2 species
GAGAGUUCUCAGGGCGGGGUGAAAUUCCCCACCGGCGGUAAUUGUGUCUUUGUGCACAUCAGCCCGCGAGCGCCCAUCCUUCGGGAUGGGGUCAGCAGACCCGGUGUAAUUCCGGGGCCGACGGUAUAGUCCGGAUGGAAGAGAACCAAU